rnacentral:rRNA from 1 species
GACGAACGCUGGCGGCGUGCUUAACACAUGCAAGUCGAGCGGAAAGGCCCUGCUUUUGUGGGGUGCCCGAGUGGCGAACGGGUGAGUAACACGUGAGUAACCUGCCCUUGACUUUGGGAUAACUUCAGGAAACUGGGGCUAAUACCGGAUAGGAGCUCCUGCUGCAUGGUGGGGGUUGGAAAGUUUCGGCGGUUGGGGAUGGACUCGCGGCUUAUCAGCUUGUUGGUGGGGUAGUGGCUUACCAAGGCUUUGACGGGUAGCCGGCCUGAGAGGGUGACCGGCCACAUUGGGACUGAGAUACGGCCCAGACUCCUACGGGAGGCAGCAGUGGGGAAUAUUGCACAAUGGGCGGAAGCCUGAUGCAGCAACGCCGCGUGCGGGAUGACGGCCUUCGGGUUGUAAACCGCUUUCGCCUGUGACGAAGCGUGAGUGACGGUAAUGGGUAAAGAAGCACCGGCUAACUACGUG